rnacentral:rRNA from 1 species
AGAGUUUGAUCAUGGCUCAGGAUGAACGCUAGCUACAGGCUUAACACAUGCAAGUCGAGGGGAAACGAUAUUGGAAGCUUGCUUCCGAUAGGCGUCGACCGGCGCACGGGUGAGUAACGCGUAUCCAACCUGCCCACCACUUGGGGAUAACCUUGCGAAAGUAAGACUAAUACCCAAUGAUAUCUCUAGAAGACAUCUGAAAGAGAUUAAAGAUUUAUCGGUGAUGGAUGGGGAUGCGUCUGAUUAGCUUGUUGGCGGGGUAACGGCCCACCAAGGCAACGAUCAGUAGGGGUUCUGAGAGGAAGGUCCCCCACAUUGGAACUGAGACACGGUCCAAACUCCUACGGGAGGCGGUA